rnacentral:tRNA from 1 species
GAUCCCGUAGCUCAGCAUGGAUUAGAGCGCUGGCCCUCUAAGCCGGAGGUCGUGGGUUCGAAUCCCACCGGGAUCGCCA